rnacentral:rRNA from 1 species
GGGUGUGAUCAUACCAGUGUUAAUGCACUGGAUCCCAUCAGAACUCUGUAAUUAAGUGCGCUUGGGCUAGAGUAGUACUAUGAUGGGUGACCUCUCAGGAAUUCCUAGUGUUGCACCCU